rnacentral:rRNA from 1 species
UAGGGAAUCUUCCACAAUGGACGAAAGUCUGAUGGAGCAACGCCGCGUGAGUGAAGAAGGGUUUCGGCUCGUAAAGCUCUGUUGGUAGUGAAGAAAGAUAGAGGUAGUAACUGGCCUUUAUUUGACGGUAAUUACUUAGAAAGUCACGGCUAACUACGUGCCAGCAGCCGCGGUAAUACGUAGGUGGCAAGCGUUGUCCGGAUUUAUUGGGCGUAAAGCGAGUGCAGGCGGUUCAAUAAGUCUGAUGUGAAAGCCUUCGGCUCAACCGGAGAACUGCAUCAGAAACUGUUGAACUUGAGUGCAGAAGAGGAGAGUGGAACUCCAUGUGUAGCGGUGGAAUGCGUAGAUAUAUGGAAGAACACCAGUGGCGAAGGCGGCUCUCUGGUCUGCAACUGACGCUGAGGCUCGAAAGCAUGGGUAGCGAACAGG